GCAACAAGAGAAGGAAAAGUAUGGCGGGAGGAAACUUAAAAAAGCUCACAGUUGUGUUCAUCUUUCUAGCCCUUACUUCUGGAUGGAUGGUAGUACAAACCGAGGGGCUGACUUGCUAUAAAGACAGCGAGGCGUUUAUAGGACAGUGCACUUUGGCAGCAGAAUGUGCUAGAGUCUGCAUUUCGUCUGAGGGGUGGGAUGACGGAUUUUGUUCGGGUGAUAAAUGCACUUGUACCCGGCAAUGCUGUUGUUAAGUCCAUGGUUUAAUGAGUUUAUUCACCAAAGUUACUCUCUGAAUGUAAUAAGGAACUGUUAGUUCACUGAAAUUCAAAGGCUCCUGCUUCCUUUCUUCCA